rnacentral:rRNA from 1 species
AACGAACGCUGGCGGCAGGCUUAACACAUGCAAGUCGAGCGCCCCGCAAGGGGAGCGGCAGACGGGUGAGUAACGCGUGGGAAUCUACCGUGCCCUACGGAAUAGCUCCGGGAAACUGGAAUUAAUACCGUAUACGCCCUACGGGGGAAAGAUUUAUCGGGGUAUGAUGAGCCCGCGUUGGAUUAGCUAGUUGGUGGGGGAAAGGCCUACCAAGGCGACGAUCCAUAGCUGGUCUGAGAGGAUGAUCAGCCACAUUGGGACUGAGACACGGCCCAAACUCCUACGGGAGGCAGAAGUGGGGAAUAUUGGACAAUGGGCGCAAGCCUGAUCCAGCCAUGCCGCGUGAGUGAUGAAGGUCUUAGGAUUGUAAAGCUCUUUCACCGGUGAAGAUAAUGACGGUAACCGGAGAAGAAGCCCCGGCUAACUUCGUGCCAGCCGCCGCAGUAAUAC